GACAGUCUCAGUUCGGAUUGAAGUCUGCAACUCGACUUCAUGAAGAUGGAAUCGCUAGUAAUCGCGAAUCAGAAUGUCGCGGUGAAUACGUUCUCGGGCUUUGUACACACCGCCCGUCAAACCAUGAGAGUUUGUAAUACCCGAAGCCGGUGGCCUAACUGUGAAGAGGGAGCCGUCUAAGGUAGGACAGAUGAUUGGGGUUAAGUCGUAACAAGGUACC
rnacentral:rRNA from 1 species